rnacentral:rRNA from 1 species
GGGGAAUAUUGCACAAUGGGCGAAAGCCUGAUGCAGCAACGCCGCGUGAGUGAUGAAGGUCUUCGGAUUGUAAAGCUCUGUCUUUUGGGACGAUAAUGACGGUACCAAAGGAGGAAGCCACGGCUAACUACGUGCCAGCAGCCGCGGUAAUACGUAGGUGGCGAGCGUUGUCCGGAUUUACUGGGCGUAAAGGGUGCGUAGGCGGAUGUUUAAGUGAGAUGUGAAAUACCCGGGCUUAACUUGGGUGCUGCAUUUCAAACUGGAUAUCUAGAGUGCAGGAGAGGAGAAUGGAAUUCCUAGUGUAGCGGUGAAAUGCGUAGAGAUUAGGAAGAACACCAGUGGCGAAGGCGAUUCUCUGGACUGUAACUGACGCUGAGGCACGAAAGCGUGGGUAGCAAACAGGAUUAGAUACCCUGGUAGUCCACGCCGUAAAACGAUGAGUACUAGGUGCAGGAGGUAUCGACCCCUUCUGUGCCGCAGUAAACACAUUAAGUACUCCGCCUGGGAAGUACGAUCGCAAGAUUAAAACUCU